rnacentral:tRNA from 1 species
GCGAAGGUGGCGGAAUUGGUAGACGCGCUAGCUUCAGGUGUUAGUGUCCUUACGGACGUGGGGGUUCAAGUCCCCCCCCUCGCACCG